GCACACAGGUGCUGCAUGGCUGUCGUCAGCUCGUGUCGUGAGAUGUUGGGUUAAGUCCGCAACGAGCGCAACCCCUAUCUUUAGUUACCAUCAUUCAGUUGGGGACUCUAAAGAUACUGCCCCGGUCAACGGGGAGGAAGGUGGGGAUGACGUCAGGUCCUCAUGGCCCUUAUGUCCAGGGCUACACACGUGCUACAAUGGGCAGUACAAAGGGUAGCAAGCCUGCGAAGGUGAGCCAAUCUCAAAAAGCUGUUCGUAGUUCGGAUUGGAGUCUGCAACUCGACUCCAUGAAGCUGGAAUCGCUAGUAAUCGCGGAUCAGCAUGCCGCAGUGAAUACGUUCCCGGGCCUU
rnacentral:rRNA from 1 species